rnacentral:rRNA from 1 species
GACGAACGCUGGCGGCGUGCUUAACACAUGCAAGUCGUACGGUAAGGCCCUUUCGGGGGUACACGAGUGGCGCACGGGUGAGUAACACGUGAGUAACCUGCCCACAACUUUGGGAUAACGCUAGGAAACUGGUGCUAAUACUGGAUAUGUGCUCCUGCUGCAUGGUGGGGGUUGGAAAGCUCCGGCGGUUGUGGAUGGACUCGCGGCCUAUCAGCUUGUUGGUGGGGUAGUGGCCUACCAAGGCGGCGACGGGUAGCCGGCCUGAGAGGGUUACCGGCCACAUUGGGACUGAGAUACGGCCCAGACUCCUACGGGAGGCAGCAGUGGGGAAUAUUGCACAAUGGGCGCAAGCCUGAUGCAGCAACGCCGCGUGCGGGAUGACGGCCUUCGGGUUGUAAACCGCGUUCAGCAGGGACGAAGCUUUUUGUGACGGUACCUGCAGAAGAAGCACCGGCUAACUACGUG